rnacentral:antisense_RNA from 1 species
UGUUAUGGUGGUUGCGUGCAGGACGCCUUCGGGCGAGCUGAGUUUGGUGUUGUCUCGGUUGACCAAGCCUGCACGCGGCCGCCUCCACU